GGAGAUGCAGUCCUCCAAGCCACAACACUUGAAAAGCCAUACUAUCUCUAUGUAUCUAUGAAAACGGAGAGAUGGACAACUGGACAGACAGAAGGACUGACAGACAGAUUAGUUGCUAUGAUAUUCUGUCUAUCUGCUUGUUGGUUGGUGCAUUUAUCGGUCUGUCCGUCUAUCUUUUGAGAGUUUUCAAAUGUUGUGACCUCCUGGGGAACUACAACCCCCAGUGUGCUCCAGGAGUCCCACCCCUUUCAGUCCUGCCUUGGGAGGGCUCCCAAAUUCGACCAAUCCCGAGUUAGGAGAGGGACAAAGCGAAUGGCCUCUCCUGAGCCCAGGAUUGAUCCAUUUAUAAGCCAAUCACACACAGCAGUAGCGAGGAAUAUCCCUAUCCCUGCCUCGGUCCAAUUCAAGACCAAUCCCUCCCAGGAAAUGAGAUGGAGGGACUGCUCCAGAACAUUGCAGUGUGCAGUUCCUCAGGGCACAAGGCUACAAAACACAUUCUAUCUCUAGCUCUAUAUCCAUAUAGACUGAGAGAUGGCCAAGGGGACCGACAGACAGGAGGACUGACAGACAGAGAGCUUCGUCAAAGGCUUCAUGAUUUCUUUCCUAACGUCUUCUGAUUCGACUUUGAGACAACCCAGCACUCUGGAAUCUUUGCUGCGACUUCUCCAAUGGACAGAUGUUCCUUUCCAUCCUCUUAACAAGGCUCCAUCAUUUCUUUCCUAACGUCUUCUGAUUCGACUUUGAGACAACCCAGCACUCUGGAAUCUUUGCUGCGACUUCUCCAAUGGACAGAUGUUCCGUUCCAUCCUCUUAACGAGGCUUCAUGAUUUCUUUCCUAACUUCUUCUGAUUCGACUUUGAGACAACCCAGCACUCUGGAAUCUUUGCUGCAACUUCUCCAAUUAACUGAUGUUCCUUUCCAUCCUCUUAACAAGGUUUCCACCCAAACAUAUCGGAAUAAGUGGUUGCAGGCAAGCAAAGCAUAUGAUGGUGCCCCUGUGGUUUUCAGAUGGCUCAGCAGAUGUAUUUGGUUCAAGAUUGGAGGGGGAGUGGCAGACAUACAGUUUGGCCAGUGAGGUGAGUGGCUGUGGCAGACUGCAUGAUGGGUCGAAACCCUUCUUCUCAGACUCUUCCAUGAGAUGCUGGAAGUCUUGAAUAGGAAAGCAAGGAAUCAGGAUCUCAGAGGCUAAGUUCUGCGCCUUAUUUACAGGAAUCAUAACCUGUUGUCCUGACUUUUCCCAAAAAGGAGCAUUUACUAAACAACAAUGGCAUUUCUUCGGGCAGGCUAUGAAACAAAGUGAGGCAAAAGGAUACAGAAUGUUACCGCCUUUGGGAUCCCAUGCAAUCUAGUGAAGAUACUGCACAAACUGUGGAGAGUUCAGCGGUUCCUCAGCUGCAGCCCACACCUUUCUCUGCUUCUACUAACUCUUCUUGCCCCUUUUAAUGAGAUGGCCAAAGAGAAACACCCCUUCCUUAAUGCUGCAGAUGCCAAGAACCAGCCCCAUGGCCUGGGACAAACCUCCUGCCCAAACCCCUUGUUUCUGGGUCCUGUCCUCACUGCUGUCAAAUGAUAGCUAAACCCCAGCAUGGAGGCAUGCUGUGUUGCUGUCCUCCCAAGGAACAGCUUUUGCACCCAUGCUCUUCCACCUCAGCUGCCUCUUUACCAAAUUCAACAUGACAUUCCAAAUCAAUAAAAUGUCACUUUUAUUUUGAAG